GGGGCGAGCGCAGGAUCCUGUGCUGUGUCCCCAGCACCCUGGGAUCCGGGGCCUGCGCCACUGGAAUCAUGAUCCUGGGGCCAUGCAGCCCCCU
rnacentral:pre_miRNA from 1 species